GACGAACGCUGGCGGCGUGCCUAAUACAUGCAAGUCGAACGCACUCUCGUUUAGAUUGAAGGAGUUUGCUCCUGAUUGAUAAACAUUUGAGUGAGUGGCGGACGGGUGAGUAACACGUGGGUAACCUGCCCUAAAGUGGGGGAUAACAUUUGGAAACAGAUGCUAAUACCGCAUAAAACCUAACACCGCAUGGUGUAGGGUUGAAAGAUGGUUUCGGCUAUCACUUUAGGAUGGACCCGCGGUGCAUUAGUUAGUUGGUGAGGUAAAGGCUCACCAAGACCGUGAUGCAUAGCCGGCCUGAGAGGGUAAUCGGCCACACUGGGACGGAGACACGGCCCAGACUCCUACGGGAGGCAGCAGUAGGGAAUCUUCCACAAUGGACGAAAGUCUGAUGGAGCAACGCCGCGUGAGUGAAGAAGGUUUUCGGAUCGUAAAACUCUGUUGUUGGAGAAGAAUGUAUCUGAUAGUAACUGAUCAGGUAGUGACGGUAUCCAACCAGAAAGCCACGGCUAACUACGUG
rnacentral:rRNA from 1 species